rnacentral:lncRNA from 1 species
CUUGUCCGCCGCCCCCUGCCCAUCUCCUCUCUCAAUUCUUGCAGCCACCAAACCCUAGCCCCCCCCCUCAAUCCCCUCCUCCCAAGGUGCCAAUCCUUGCCGCUCGGAUCAUCGUCACGUGGUGCGAGUCUUCAAUCGUUUUGGUGGAGGGAAGAAGGGAGGAAGGAAAGGGGGAGAAUCCAAGGUGAUUUUUGUGUUCAUCCCUUGUUCAUUUGCGCUGCAAUUUAAUUGAUUAGAGGUUGUGUUUGCGAUUGGGUAGAGGGGGCUGUCCAGAAUUUUAGGUGGUGGGUGAACAGCAGUAGUUCUAGCAGUUUCUGUGUUUUUUUCGUGAGAAAUUAAGGGAAAUCAGUUUGGGGAUCAUGUAGAACUUUGUCUUACCUUUCAAACGAGUAUUUAUGCGCUCAAUUUGGAGUUAUAAAUUGAAAGUUAUCACCGUUUGAAUCCUGGUAUGUGGCUGUCCAAAAAACAGAUUUUCAGGGGGAUGAACAGCAGCAGUAUUAGCAGUUUCUAGAGAUUUUUCGGGAGUAAUUAGGGUUAAUCAGUAUAAGAAUCAUGAAGGGCUCUUUCUUAUCUUUCCAACAAGUACUUAUGCGCUUGAUUCGGAAUUAUAUUUUAAAAGUUAUCGCUGUUUAAAUCCGAGUAUGUCAGUGCCCAAAACAGAAAAAAAAACAGAUUGCAGGGUUUAUUUUGUGGACCGUUUAGGGGUAAUUAGAUGUUAGAAUUUAAUCAUAAAUUGUAUACAAAACUUGUGGGGAAUUUUAUGUAGUUGCCUCUGGAGUUUUUGUUUGACACCACUGCUGUCUUAAUUUUAAAGUUAUGGAAUUGUUAAGCAGCGCCGCUGCAGUUUGGUUGGUGUGAGGAGAAUUGUUACCCGCGGCGGGGUUUGAGAUUGCGUGUAGGUGCGGCGUUGUUUUGAGUUUUUUUACGUGAAUUUGGUGCACUAAGUUGGGUGUCAAAAACAGGUGGUGGACUCCCAGAUCAUUCUUAGGGAUUUGCCCAAACUUCCGGUGAAGGCAAGUAAAACUGUGAUGGUUAUUCCGUCUGUCAGAUGAGGAGUCUUAUACUUGUUUAUGUUGUGCUAUUAUGUUCAAAUUCAUAUUUUCUUUUGAGUACGAUCAUUUGAAAAUGUUCAUGUUUCAUGGAUUUCAUAUGUUGAGUUUGAGGUUUGAUUAUGUUACUCAAGUGGUUAUUAUGUGGAAUGGGUGGAAGUAAAUGCCUAGCACAUUUUUAUUUGGGAAGAACUCAUGAUGUUGUCAUGCAUAAUGCACUCAUCAUCCAUUGCAUUGAAGUUUCAUCGCGAUCUUAUGGUCCGACCGUACCGGUACAUUGAGCAUCAUAUGUUGCCCGAGAAGGGGUAUGGUGCAGCUUCAUAUCCUUAGAGAUAUGGAGGCAGAAGUCAUUAUUGCAUUUGUAGCCAUGUGCAUUCAUGGGAGAGGUGUUGAAUCUAUUAUGUGGAUGUGGAUAAUUUGGACUUGUGCAUGGUGAUUCUACUUGGCGUUGAGUUUUUAGUUACUUGUUUACUUGCUGCAAUUUACUGUUCAAAAGAAAGAAAAGAAGUCCUGAACACGUGGUUGUGUAAGCACAGUUGAUUUACAAUGUCCUAUUUGUUGUUGUUAUGUUUACUUGUUGAGAUGUGUUAUCUCACAUCUUGCAUUGCUUGAUGCAGGCACCUAAUUUCUGCUUUGGGAAUAGAGGGAUGUAGCAGCACGGCCACUACACCUUUAAUAAAGGAACCACCAUUUAAUAAUGUUGUUAAUCAGAGUUGGACAAGUCUAGUGAAUUGCUUUGUUCUUGGUUGAGCGUUUAUUUUGGGGUGGGCUGAGUUUCUUAUCCCAUUUGUUUUGCUUUAGUUGGGUCAUAAUUAAGUUUUACCACUUUUGCAUUUCAGUUUCUACUAUGUGAAUUAUAUGUCUUUAUAUCUUGUAUGAGCUUCAUGUUUCCCCUCCUUGUUAUGCUAGUUUUCAAAGGAGGUGCUACCGGAUUUUUGCUAUAUAUUCUUUCU